GAGGCUGCGGUCAUGGAGGGACCCGGAGCUGGAUCCGGCUUCCGGAAGGUGAGGGCCGGCGGGCAGGGGCUAGGCAGGCGCGGACGCUCCGUCCCGACCUCACGCGUGACACCGUGAGGGCCAGACGCCAGCCCCCGCGCCGCCCCCUGUGCCUUUGAGGUUGGGCCCGUUCUCAGACUCCAUCUCCGGCCGGGCCGCGCGCCCCGCACCCUCCUGGGCUGGUGUCUCGCAGCUGGAGCUGGUGAGCAGGCUGCUGCACCUGCACUUCAAGGAUGACAAGACCAAAGAAGCAGCAGUCCGCGGGGUGCGGCAGGCCCAGGCAGAAGACGCGCUCCGUGUGGACGUGGACCAGCUGGAGAAGGUGCUUCCGCAGCUGGUGCGUGAGCAUGGGUCGGGGCGCAAGUGGGGGUGCCCGGCUGGCUGGCCCUAAGUGCUUCUCUCCCCCACAGCUCCUGGACUUCUAGGGAUCUCAGCCGUGGCUGAAGCCACCCCCAGAGGAGCCCCUGGUCCACAGAAGCAGGCCUUGUGUUUCCAGCGGCCUCUGAUAACAGGCAGGGAAGGACCUGAGGGAUUUGGAGUUGAUUCAAACAAGAUCUCUGGGAGUCUCCAGCCUGUGCAGAAGGGGCAGGACUGCAGCACGCUGCUGGCCUUGGAGUGUCCAGUGGGGACACUGGUGUGGGAAGGGGCAGCACCUGGGGAGUCCCUGCCUCUCCUCCCUGGGGCAAUAGUGUGCAUGCAUGCCACCUGGGGUCCUACAGGCAGGUGCUGGGAAAGGCCUGGCCAGCAGGUAGCCUGUGUGUUUGACAAACAGCGGCUGGCAGCGCUGCCU
rnacentral:sRNA from 1 species